GCCCUCGUGGGGGAGUCUGGCCGUCCCCGCCCGGUUGUCAGCCGGGAGACUCGCGAGUUCGAAUCUCGUCGAGGGCG
rnacentral:tRNA from 1 species